rnacentral:rRNA from 1 species
GGAGUCUAGCAUGUGCGCGAGUCUUCGGUUCUCAACGAAGACCGCAGGCGAAAUGAAAGUGAAGGCCCGUCUAGCGCGGGCUGAGGGAGGAUGGGUGGCGUUCAGGCGCCGCCUCGCACUCCCGGGGCGUCUCGUGCUCAUCGCGAGCUGAGGCGCACCCAGAGCGUACACGCUGGGACCCGAAAGAUGGUGAACUAUGCCUGGUCAGGACGAAGUCAGGGGAAACCCUGAUGGAGGUCCGUAGCGAUUCUGACGUGCAAAUCGAUCGUCGGAACUGGGUAUAGGGGCGAAAGACUAAUCGAACCAUCUAGUAGCUGGUUCCCUCCGAAGUUUCCCUCAGGAUAGCUGGCGCUCGUAGAGCGAGUUUCAUCCGGUAAAGCGAAUGAUUAGAGGCAUUGGGGUCGAAACGGCCUCAACCUAUUCUCAAACUUUAAAUGGGUGAGAUCUCCGGCUUGCUCGAACUUGAAGCCGCGAGUAUCAAUUAACGUAGAAUCAGAGUGCCAAGUGGGCCAUUUUUGGUAAGCAGAACUGGCGCUGUGGGAUGAACCAAACGCCGGGUUAAAGCGCCCAAAUCGACGCUUAUGGGAUACCAUGAAAGGCGUUGGUAACUUAAGACAGCAGGACGGUGGCCAUGGAAGUC